AAGAAAAAGAGUGGCGAACGGGUGAGUAACACGUGGGUAACCUGCCCAUCAGAAGGGGAUAACACUUGGAAACAGGUGCUAAUACCGUAUAACACUAUUUUCCGCAUGGAAGAAAGUUGAAAGGCGCUUUUGCGUCACUGAUGGAUGGACCCGCGGUGCAUUAGCUAGUUGGUGAGGUAACGGCUCACCAAGGCAACGAUGCAUAGCCGACCUGAGAGGGUGAUCGGCCACACUGGGACUGAGACACGGCCCAGACUCCUACGGGAGGCAGCAGUAGGGAAUCUUCGGCAAUGGACGAAAGUCUGACCGAGCAACGCCGCGUGAGUGAAGAAGGUUUUCGGAUCGUAAAACUCUGUUGUUAGAGAAGAACAAGGAUGAGAGUAAAAUGUUCAUCCCUUGACGGUAUCUAACCAGAAAGCCACGGCUAACUACGUGCCAGCAGCCGCGGUAAUACGUAGGUGGCAAGCGUUGUCCGGAUUUAUUGGGCGUAAAGCGAGCGCAGGCGGUUUCUUAAGUCUGAUGUGAAAGCCCCCGGCUCAACCGGGGAGGGUCAUUGGAAACUGGGAGACUUGAGUGCAGAAGAGGAGAGUGGAAUUCCAUGUGUAGCGGUGAAAUGCGUAGAUAUAUGGAGGAACACCAGUGGCGAAGGCGGCUCUCUGGUCUGUAACUGACGCUGAGGCUCGAAAGCGUGGGGAGCGAACAGGAUUAGAUACCCUGGUAGUCCACGCCGU
rnacentral:rRNA from 1 species